CCUACGGGAUGCAGCAGUGGGGAAUAUUGGACAAUGGGGGGAACCCUGAACCAGCGACGUCGCGUGAGUGAAGAAGUCUCUAGGUAUGUUAAGCUUUAUCAGCAGGGAAGAAAAUGACGGUACCUGACUAAGAAGCCCCGGCUAACUACGUGCCAGCAGCCGCGGUAAUAUGUAGGGGGCCAGCGUUAUCCGGAUUUACUGGGUGUAAAGGGUGCGUAGACGGGUCAGCAAGUCUGAUGUGAAAGGUCGGGGCCCAACCCCGGGACUGCCUUGGAUACUGUUGAACUGGAGUACAGGAGAGGUAAGCGGAAUUCGUAGUGUAGCGGUGAAAUGCGUAGAUAUUAGGAAGAACACCAGUGGCGAAGGCGGCUUACUGGACUGUAACUGACGUUGAGGCUCGAAAGCGUGGGGAGCAAACAGGAUUAGAUACCCUUGUAGUC
rnacentral:rRNA from 1 species